UGCUCUGUAAAAAAAAAUCAACUCUUGUGAUAUUCUCUCUAUAUCUAUAUCGGUAAAGAAAAAAUCUCAAUUUCGGCUCUGUCAGUUGCAGUUUUUAUGUGCGAACUCUUUGUUUGUGCUGCUAUAUAGUCUUCCAUUUAGCAGGUUGCAGCCAGUGGUAGCAGUUCUAGAUGGUCUCUUUCAGGGUUUACCGCUCUCAUAACCGGCGGGACACGUUGAAUUGGGCAUGCGGUUGUGGAGGAAUUGGUGGAACUGGGUGCCACAGUGUAUACUUGUUCAUGUAAUGAAGCGGAGCUCAACAAGCGCUUGCAAGAGUGGGCCGCUAAAGGCCUUCAAGUGAAAGGUUCUGUUUGCGAUGCAUCUUCUAGGGAAAACAGAGUUCAGCUCAUGGAGAAUGUCUCCUCGGCUUUCGACAGAAAGCUGAACAUUCUUGUGUGUUAUAUAACCUAUUCUCUUAUUAAUCCCUCCCUUGAUGAAAUGCUUAACAAAUGGUCUCUAUAUUCAAAUUAAUCAUGUAAUUGUAGUGCUUUAAAGCUGAAUAUAAUGGAACAAGAGCUGUAACUUGAUUGUAUUGUACAGCUGGCACAAGAGUUAGUGAAACAUCUUUUGUUCUCUACUUUUGGACUAUCGUUGGGAGCCAUUUUUGGCUGCAUCCUAAAGCAUACAUCUAACGAUGCAAUGGAUCAUGUACAUACUAAAGAUGACUACUCUUUCUGUUCUCCU